UCCUCAGUAGCUCAGUGGUAGAGCGGUCGGCUGUUAACUGACUGGUCAUAGGUUCGAAUCCUACUUGGGGAG
rfam:Brachypodium distachyon strain Bd21 chromosome 1, whole genome shotgun sequence.